rnacentral:ncRNA from 1 species
ACAAUGGUACUCCUGUCCAGCCACAGCCCUGCUUAAGAUCAGAGAAGUCUAUACAUUUGGAAACCAUCUGGUUGCAGGAUCACGCAAUGGGGGCAGCUCGGAGAGAUCCUCGGAGGGGUGAGAUUCCCGUG